GACGAACGCUGGCGGCGUGCUUAACACAUGCAAGUCGAACGCUGAAGCUUGGUGCUUGCACUGGGUGGAUGAGUGGCGAACGGGUGAGUAAUACGUGAGUAACCUGCCCUUGACUCUGGGAUAAGCCUGGGAAACUGGGUCCAAUACUGGAUACGACAUGUCACCGCAUGGUGGUGUGUGGAAAGGGUUUUUCUGGUUUUGGAUGGGCUCACGGCCUAUCAGCUUGUUGGUGGGGUAAUGGCUCACCAAGGCGACGACGGGUAGCCGGCCUGAGAGGGUGACCGGCCACACUGGGACUGAGACACGGCCCAGACUCCUACGGGAGGCAGCAGUGGGGAAUAUUGCACAAUGGGCGGAAGCCUGAUGCAGCGACGCCGCGUGAGGGAUGACGGCCUUCGGGUUGUAAACCUCUUUCAGCACGGAAGAAGCGAAAGUGACGGUACGUGCAGAAGAAGCGCCGGCUAACUACGUG
rnacentral:rRNA from 1 species